AGCAGUAGCCGCGGGAAUACGGAGGGUGCAAGCGUUAUCCGGAUUUAUUGGGUUUAAAGGGUCCGUAGGCGGACUUAUAAGUCAGUGGUGAAAGCCUGUCGCUUAACGAUAGAACUGCCAUUGAUACUGUAAGUCUUGAGUAUAUUUGAGGUAGCUGGAAUAAGUAGUGUAGCGGUGAAAUGCAUAGAUAUUACUUAGAACACCAAUUGCGAAGGCAGGUUACCAAGAUAUAACUGACGCUGAGGGACGAAAGCGUGGGUAGCGAACAGGAUUAGAUACCCGGGUAGUCCCUGUCUCUUAUAA
rnacentral:rRNA from 1 species